AAUAUUGCACAAUGGGCGAAAGCCUGAUGCAGCAACGCCGCGUGAAUGAUGAAGGCCUUCGGGUUGUAAACUUCUUUGACGAGGGACGAAGGAAGUGACGGUACCUCGAAAACAAGCCACGGCUAACUACGUGCCAGCAGCCGCGGUAAUACGUAGGUGGCGAGCGUUGUCCGGAUUUACUGGGUGUAAAGGGCGCGUAGGCGGGAUUGCAAGUCAGGCGUGAAAUACCGGGGCUUAACCUCGGGGCUGCGCUUGAAACUGUGAUUCUUGAGUGCCGGAGAGGCAGGCGGAAUUCCUAGUGUAGCGGUGAAAUGCGUAGAUAUUAGGAGGAACACCAGUGGCGAAGGCGGCCUGCUGGACGGUAACUGACGCUGAGGCGCGAAAGCGUGGGGAGCAAACAGG
rnacentral:rRNA from 1 species